GUCCACGCCGUAAACGAUGGAUACUAGCUGUUGGGAGCAAUUUCAGUGGCUAAGCGAAAGUGAUAAGUAUCCCACCUGGGGAGUACGUUCGCAAGAAUGAAACUCAAAGGAAUUGACGGGGGCCCGCACAAGCGGUGGAGCAUGUGGUUUAAUUCGAUGAUACGCGAGGAACCUUACCAAGGCUUAAAUGUAGUUUGACCGGUUUGGAAACAGACUUUUCGCAAGACAAAUUACAAGGUGCUGCAUGGUUGUCGU
rnacentral:rRNA from 1 species